UACGUAGGGGGCAAGCGUUGUCCGGAAUCAUUGGGCGUAAAGCGCGUGUAGGCGGCCUUGUAAGUCCGUUCUGAAAGCCCGGGGCUCAACCCCGGGUCUGCCAUGCCGACUGUCACGCUAGAGUACUGUAGGGGCAGGCGGAAUUCCCGGUGUAGCGGUGAAAUGCGUAGAUAUCGGGAGGAACAUCAGUGGCGAAGGCGGCUACCUGGCCCAAUACUGACACUCAGGUGCGACAGCGUGGGGAGCAAACAGG
rnacentral:rRNA from 1 species